rnacentral:tRNA from 10 species
GGAUCCUUAGCUCAGAGGUAGAGCGCUUCGUUCACAUCGAAGAAGUCGCAAGUUCGAGUCUUGCAGGAUCCACAA